GACGAACGCUGGCGGCGUGCCUAAUACAUGCAAGUAGAACGCUGAAGCUUGGUGCUUGCACCGAGCGGAUGAGUUGCGAACGGGUGAGUAACGCGUAGGUAACCUGCCUGGUAGCGGGGGAUAACUAUUGGAAACGAUAGCUAAUACCGCAUAAGAGUAGAUGUUGCAUGACAUUUGCUUAAAAGGUGCAAUUGCAUCACUACCAGAUGGACCUGCGUUGUAUUAGCUAGUUGGUGAGGUAACGGCUCACCAAGGCAACGAUACAUAGCCGACCUGAGAGGGUGAUUGGCCACACUGGGACUGAGACACGGCCCAGACCCCUACGGGAGGCAGCAGGAGGGAAUCUUCGGCAAUGGACGGAAGUCUGACCGAGCAACGCCGCGUGAGUGAAGAAGGUUUUCGGAUCGUAAAGCUCUGUUGUAAGAGAAGAACGAGUGUGAGAGUGGAAAGUUCACACUGUGACGGUAUCUUACCAGAAAGGGACGGCUAACUACGUG
rnacentral:rRNA from 1 species